rnacentral:rRNA from 1 species
GGCCAUACCACCCUGAAUGUGCCUGCUCUCGUCUGAUCUUGGAAGCUAAGCAGGGUCGGGCCUGGUUAGUCCUUGGAUGGGAGACACGUACAAGACUUUUCAGAGCC